GGCAUGUUGGUGCAGUGGUUAAAGUGCUUGGCUGCUAACCAAAAGGCUGGUGGUUCGAACCCUCCAGCUGCUC
rfam:Loxodonta africana unplaced genomic scaffold scaffold_56, whole genome shotgun sequence.